rnacentral:rRNA from 1 species
UACGUAUGGUGCAAGCGUUAUCCGGAUUUACUGGGUGUAAAGGGAGCGCAGGCGGCACGGCAAGCCUGAUGUGAAAGCCCGCGGCCCAACCGCGGGACUGCAUUGGGAACUACCGGGCUGGAGUGCCGGAGAGGUAGGCGGAAUUCCUAGUGUAGCGGUGAAAUGCGUAGAUAUUAGGAGGAACACCAGUGGCGAAGGCGGCCUACUGGACGGUGACUGACGCUGAGGCUCGAAAGCGUGGGGAGCAAACAGC